UAAACCUGAAAAAAAAAUAUCGGUUGAAAAAAAAAACAUUUCUUACGAUACUGUUAAUGAAACUUGAAUAAAUCAUUGGAUAUCUGUGUUCACUCGUAUCUAAAUUUUUUCAAGAACGAAUUACACGAUUUUUUCUUUGAUGCUUUACAAAUUGAAACAAUAAGCCAAUUUAAAUUCUUUGAACUAUAUAUUAAGGAGGAGAAGGGAGAGAAUGUGAAAUCCAAUAGUACUUUCAUCAAAAUUAUCUCUCUUUCGGGCAAAUUAAUUCCGAUUGCGUUAACGAAUUCUAAAUUGGACGUAACUUCCUGCGCGCGCGUGGCCAGGAAAGAUAAACACAUUGAAAAAAAUUCUUUACGACCUUAAGUUUCGCCACGAGCGAAGAGAAAAACACCUUCUCCCUCUCACGUCUUUUUCUCCCCCACGAUCUUCCCUUCCAUUCUCUCCCCCUCUUCCCAUCUUGAGUUUUAAGAACCCGACGACCUUCCAACUCCUACGCGUCGAAAAUACGCUCUAACAAGUAUCGCAGCGGACUUAUUUAAUCGUGAGACGGCGACGAUAAAGAGGACGAGAGAAAUAUUCGGUAGACACACCGAGCGAGCGAGCGAGUACGUGGACUUGCCGCUCAUGUUCGGUCCAGUUAUCAGGUGAAAAUUAUACGCAAUUGACGCGUUCUGCGCGUUAGAGAAUAAGCUCCCUUUUGAGAUGCAAUCCGUUAUACCUGAAGACUGAUGCAUAGAGAAUGAUUGGCCACCAAUUCCGCUACGCAGGACUGUCGAUCCAGGAUCAGACGUUCGUCGCAGCCGGGCUGAAGGA